AGAGCUUGCUCUCCUGAUUAGUGGCGCACGGGUGAGUAACGCAUAGGUAAUGUGCCCCUUAGUUCGGGAUAGCCACUGGAAACGGUGAUUAAUACCGGAUACUCCUUCUUACUAUAGGGUAAGUCGGGAAAGUUUUUCGCUAAGGGAUCAGCCUAUGUCCUAUCAGCUUGUUGGUGAGGUAAUGGCUCACCAAGGCUAUGACGGGUAUCUGGUUUGAGAGGAUGAUCAGACACACUGGAACUGAGACACGGUCCAGACUCCUACGGGAGGCAGCAGUGAGGAAUAUUGCACAAUGGAGGAAACUCUGAUGCAGCAACGCCGCGUGGAGGAUGACGCAUUUCGGUGUGUAAACUCCUUUUAAGAGGGAAGAUUAUGACGGUACCUCUUGAAUAAGCACCGGCUAACUCCGUGCCAGCAGCCGCGGUAAUACGGAGGGUGCAAGCGUUACUCGGAAUCACUGGGCGUAAAGGGUGCGUAGGCUGGCUUUUAAGUCAGAUGUGAAAUCCAAUGGCUUAACCAUUGAACUGCAUUUGAAACUGGGAGCCUAGAGUUCAGAAGGGGCAGAUGGAAUUAGUGGUGUAGGGGUAAAAUCCGUAGAUAUCACUAGGAAUAUCAAAAGCGA
rnacentral:rRNA from 1 species